UUUUGCACAAGUGGGCCACCUUUUUCGUUUUUUCAGAUUUGGUCCGAAUUUUCAGCAAACUGACUAAAAUACCCUUGUACCUUUUUCUCUCUCCUCCUUUUUUUUUCUCAUUCUUUUUUUCUUUCUCUUCCUAGAGAGCGGCGGAGGCAGAGGCAGAGGUGGAGGCGGCCCGCUUUGGUUUUGUUUGGCGCAUCCUUACCCUCCCCCGCACACCCUCGCCUUCCUCGCCUCCGACCCCGCUGAGGCCGCGCUGCGACUUUUUUUUUCUUCUCUCUCCGACCCUCCUCUACCGUCUCCGACGACGACGCCUAUCUCACCCUCUCUCGUCCUUCUCGCCCUUUUCCUCUCCCUCCUCCUUCGCCUCCUCCGCCGCCUGCGGCGACGACGCCUCUCCGCCGACAUCGGCGCCGCGGAGGUCGCUACGGUGCCGCAGCCUUAGAGCGGAGGGUCUUUAGCGGCGUCAUCGCCGGUGCCGUAGCCGUUGGCAGAGAGGCAUGACAAAAAAAAAUUAUAGAAGAGGAAGAAGAAAAAAAUAAAGAUAAAAAAUUAUAUAAGUAGGUAGAAGAUGAUGAAAUUGCACUGUUAAAAUAAGAUUGCACUGUUUUAAAACAAAUUUG
rnacentral:lncRNA from 1 species